rnacentral:lncRNA from 1 species
CUCUCGGGGAAACAGAAUAAGGAAAAGCUGAAGCGAAGGCAUCAGUGACUGAGGGCUCCCUCUACUCCCUCACUGGCAGGUCUCACAACUCAGGUCUCAGAGCCAAGGAUACCAUCUAAAGGAGCAAUGGCUGUGCUGUUGCUGCAGGUAUCUGGUGUUCUGCCAGAGCCCGGCUGAGGAUGGGAAGCAACAGAGGCAGCCUGACCCAGGGGGACUGAAAGGUAAUAUUCGAGGCAAGGACUUUAAAUAGCACAAAUGACCUUCAGCAGGAACAACAUUCUAGAGUCAAGAUCCCACUUGAUAGGUGAGAAAGCAUGGGGUCCAUCUCAGAUCAUCAAGGGAGUCAGCCGAGAAUGGCUGUCGCUCGGCAAGAAAAAGCCAGGUGUAAAAUGCUGGAGGUUUCAAAGGGAAGCAGGAAGUAUGGACACACCAUCCAAGAUACAGUUGUUUCUGGAGGGCCAGUGCACAGAGCCCCUCCUACACUCCCUACUGUGAAUGUCGCAGCGGAUGCACAUUUUAAGGUGUCACUGGAGGGGCAGUCAACGUGGUACAGUCUUGUCGUCUCACUAGGAGGACAAAGAUCCAAAAAUCAGCAAGUGUGUCAAAGGUACAUAGCAAAUGUCUGAUUGCUCCCUCAUGGAUUGUUCAACUCAGAGAAAUCUAUCGGAAACCUGAAGAUGAGCCAAAGGGAAGCUUGCUGAGACACUGGACCUGGGAAGACCAGCACACACCUCAGGUCUGGGCGGUUCUCCCACACUGCAGCUGUCCUCUGCCCCUGCUGCCACCCAAACUCCUAAGAUAAUGUCACCAGUCACACCAAGGAGCCAGCAUAUAUUAAUAACAACAAAACAUUUCUAACCCCUUAUCACCAGGAAAGCCUGUACAUUCCAAUUAGGCAUGAGUUUCAGACUCUAUAUUCUGAGAAAGUCUAGAGAAAA